CCUCCAAGGCUAAAUACUCCUGACUGACCGAUAGUGAACCAGUACCGUGAGGGAAAGGCGAAAAGAACCCCGGCGAGGGGAGUGAAAAAGAACCUGAAACCGUGUACGUACAAGCAGUGGGAGCACGCUUAGGCGUGUGACUGCGUACCUUUUGUAUAAUGGGUCAGCGACUUAUAUUCUGUAGCAAGGUUAACCGAAUAGGGGAGCCGAAGGGAAACCGAGUCUUAACUGGGCGUUAAGUUGCAGGGUAUAGACCCGAAACCCGGUGAUCUAGCCAUGGGCAGGUUGAAGGUUGGGUAACACUAACUGGAGGACCGAACCGACUAAUGUUGAAAAAUUAGCGGAUGACUUGUGGCUGGGGGUGAAAGGCCAAUCAAACCGGGAGAUAGCUGGUUCUCCCCGAAAGCUAUUUAGGUAGCGCCUCGUGAAUUCAUCUCCGGGGGUAGAGCACUGUUUCGGCAAGGGGGUCAUCCCGACUUACCAACCCGAUGCAAACUGCGAAUACCGGAGAAUGUUAUCACGGGAGACACACGGCGGGUGCUAACGUCCGUCGUGAAGAGGGAAACAACCCAGACCGCCAGCUAAGGUCCCAAAGUCAUGGUUAAGUGGGAAACGAUGUGGGAAGGCCCAGACAGCCAGGAUGUUGGCUUAGAAGCAGCCAUCAUUUAAAGAAAGCGUAAUAGCUCACUGGUCGAGUCGGCCUGCGCGGAAGAUGUAACGGGGCUAAACCAUGCACCGAAGCUGCGGCAGCGACGCUUAUGCGUUGUUGGGUAGGGGAGCGUUCUGUAAGCCUGUGAAGGUGUGCUGUGAGGUAUGCUGGAGGUAUCAGAAGUGCGAAUGCUGACAUAAGUAACGAUAAAGCGGGUGAAAAGCCCGCUCGCCGGAAGACCAAGGGUUCCUGUCCAACGUUAAUCGGGGCAGGGUGAGUCGACCCCUAAGGCGAGGCCGAAAGGCGUAGUCGAUGGGAAACAGGUUAAUAUUCCUGUACUUGGUGUUACUGCGAAGGGGGGACGGAGAAGGCUAUGUUGGCCGGGCGACGGUUGUCCCGGUUUAAGCGUGUAGGCUGGUUUUCCAGGCAAAUCCGGAAAAUCAAGGCCGAGGCGUGAUGACGAGGCACUACGGUGCUGAAGCAACAAAUGCCCUGCUUCCAGGAAAAGCCUCUAAGCAUCAGGUAACAUCAAAUCGUACCCCAAACCGACACAGGUGGUCAGGUAGAGAAUACCAAGGCGCUUGAGAGAACUCGGGUGAAGGAACUAGGCAAAAUGGUGCCGUAACUUCGGGAGAAGGCACGCUGAUACGUAGGUGAAGCGACUUGCUCGUGGAGCUGAAAUCAGUCGAAGAUACCAGCUGGCUGCAACUGUUUAUUAAAAACACAGCACUGUGCAAACACGAAAGUGGACGUAUACGGUGUGACGCCUGCCCGGUGCCGGAAGGUUAAUUGAUGGGGUUAGCGCAAGCGAAGCUCUUGAUCGAAGCCCCGGUAAACGGCGGCCGUAACUAUAACGGUCCUAAGGUAGCGAAAUUCCUUGUCGGGUAAGUUCCGACCUGCACGAAUGGCGUAAUGAUGGCCAGGCUGUCUCCACCCGAGACUCAGUGAAAUUGAACUCGCUGUGAAGAUGCAGUGUACCCGCGGCAAGACGGAAAGACCCCGUGAACCUUUACUAUAGCUUGACACUGAACAUUGAGCCUUGAUGUGUAGGAUAGGUGGGAGGCUUUGAAGUGUGGACGCCAGUCUGCAUGGAGCCGACCUUGAAAUACCACCCUUUAAUGUUUGAUGUUCUAACGUGGACCCGUGAUCCGGGUUGCGGACAGUGUCUGGUGGGUAGUUUGACUGGGGCGGUCUCCUCCUAAAGAGUAACGGAGGAGCACGAAGGUUGGCUAAUCCUGGUCGGACAUCAGGAGGUUAGUGCAAUGGCAUAAGCCAGCUUGACUGCGAGCGUGACGGCGCGAGCAGGUGCGAAAGCAGGUCAUAGUGAUCCGGUGGUUCUGAAUGGAAGGGCCAUCGCUCAACGGAUAAAAGGUACUCCGGGGAUAACAGGCUGAUACCGCCCAAGAGUUCAUAUCGACGGCGGUGUUUGGCACCUCGAUGUCGGCUCAUCACAUCCUGGGGCUGAAGUAGGUCCCAAGGGUAUGGCUGUUCGCCAUUUAAAGUGGUACGCGAGCUGGGUUUAGAACGUCGUGAGACAGUUCGGUCCCUAUCUGCCGUGGGCGCUGGAGAACUGAGGGGGGCUGCUCCUAGUACGAGAGGACCGGAGUGGACGCAUCACUGGUGUUCGGGUUGUCAUGCCAAUGGCACUGCCCGGUAGCUAAAUGCGGAAGAGAUAAGUGCUGAAAGCAUCUAAGCACGAAACUUGCCCCGAGAUGAGUUCUCCCUGACCCUUUAAGGGUCCUGAAGGAACGUUGAAGACGACGACGUUGAUAGGCCGGGUGUGUAAGCGCAGCGAUGCGUUGAGCUAACCGGUACUAAUGAACCGUGAGGCUUAACCUU
rnacentral:rRNA from 1 species